rnacentral:lncRNA from 1 species
GUGAGAUUCAUUAUUGGUGCCAGUUUGGUAAUGGUGUCACGAUUAACGACUUAUGGUGCCGCAGCGAAACUGAGAGCUCCUUGUGAAUGUACACGCAAGGUUAUGCUGCUUGGCGCAUGCUGGUAUCGAUGUCUCUAGUCAUGAUCCAUUGUGGAACUACACUGAUGUGUGAUCUUCCGUGGAGUCCUCCCUUGAAACAAUUUCUAUGUUGUUUGUCAAGUGAUCAAGCAACAUCUAUCAUCUCUGUUGGAUCAAAAGGGCAUACCACUUUCAUGUGUGAUCUCUUAUCUUUUGACUUUGAUGGUGACUUCACACAUACAAGUUCCCUUUACAUCCUUUGUGUAAAGGUGAAGCCUUGGAGCUUUUUAGUGUUGCAAGACAACCAAUUAGUUCCCAAAAUGGAGAUUUGUUUCCCCUGCUGCUGAAAUGCAGGAGUUUGUUCAUUCGCUCUCUUAUUUAAUUCAUGUAUUCCCUAACCAAGUCGGUUCAUCUUGUAUAGAAGAAACGGAUGAAUAACCUGACCAAAUGAAUUCCUACCCAAGUGCAUGACCUUUUACUAGCAAACAUAAGCUCGACCGUUGGCUUACCGAUGGUACUGAGAGGACUUGCUCAAUGUCAAAAGUAGUUCAACAAGUUGGUUUUACUGACUUGUAACUGCUCAAUGAACGAAGGUUGAGUUUAGAGAUCGUUUUAUCGAUUUGCCUGAACUCACUUUGGUUCAACCCACUCAAGAAAGUACUUGCAAGAAUCAAGAUUAAACCGACUAAUAACCACCUAAUCAUCGCUCUAGUCAUGCCUCGAUCGCCUCACGUGUGCUUUUUCAGCAUGUGUGAUCAAGUCGAGCCAUGGUUAGUGCUUGCUAUAAUAGAUUGGUUGCAAAGACAACAUCUACAGAUCCCUCCACUGGUGAUUCUCUCGAAUCUAUAUCACCUUUCAGGGACUUGGAUUUUCUGGCUAGUCACGGGUCAACUGUGAUGUUAUUCGACAUUCACCCC